rnacentral:rRNA from 1 species
CCUACGGGAGGCAGCAGUGAGGAAUAUUGGUCAAUGGGCGAGAGCCUGAACCAGCAAUGCCGCGUGUGGGAUGACAGGGCUUCGCCUUGUAAACCACUGUCGGACGGGACGAAAAGAGGUAAUAACCUCUGGGACGGUACCGUCAAAGGAAGGGUCGGCUAACUACGUGCCAGCAGCCGCGGUAAUACGUAGGACCCGAGCGUUGUCCGGAUUUACUGGGUAUAAAGGGUGCGUAGGCGGUCCAGUGCGUCAGAGGUGAAAUCUCCGGGCUUAACCCGGAGGGUGCCUUUGAAACGGCAGGACUUGAGUGCGGGAGAGGGUGAUGGAAUUCCUGGUGUAGCGGUGAAAUGCGUAGAUAUCAGGAGGAACACCGGUGGCGAAGGCGGUCACCUGGCCCGUAACUGACGCUGAGGCACGAAAGCAUGGGGAGCAAACAGGAUUAGAUACCCUGGUAGUCCAUGCCAUAAACGAUGAAUACUAGGUUUUGGGCCCGUCAACGGUCCAGAGCCGCAGCUAACGCGUUAAGUACUCCGCCUGGGGAGUACGGUCGCAAGACUGAAACUCAAAGGAAUUGACGG